CCCUGUUGUAAACCCUAGCCUCCCCUUCCUUCCUCUUCUACAUCAGUCGUCGCCGCCAUCACUGAAUAGGGAUUAAGAUAUCGAUCAACCACUACAGGCCUCCAGCUCCUCGCCAUGGCGGAAGAUGACAAUGGUGACGAAGAACCAGGAUAGGUGAUACAGUGGAGACGAUAUCAGCUUUGGCUAAGGGCACACAAAUUGGAUCAUGCAAUGCUUGCCUCUAAUCUUCCUUGGAUUCGUAACAAAUGAGGUCUUAGGGUGGCAAGAGAUAAGAUGUUUUGGUUGUUGUUGCAAUGGCUAAAAAGUUCUUCAUCCCAGCUGCACUUGAAGUCAGUCUUAAUUGUUUUGAAGGUUUAUCUAUAUAUAUGAGGUAUACAACACUACUGGUUAGUAACAAAUGAGCUAGGAGCCCUCUAAAUUGUGCAUUUUGGCGGGAAAAUGGACGGAUCUUGGAAAAAGCUCGCGGAUCCUUUUUGUUCAUGAAUCCGACCCAAUGGAUAUCCAUUCACCCGAUUAACAAAUGAGUACACCAUACAUUUCAAACAUUAAGAAACCCUAAUCUUCCGGCCUCAAUCGCCGUUCUUCCAUCAGUCAAGCAAAUCGGAUGGUGAUCCAUCUUCGUUUCAUCCUUAGGGUUACGGUUCCUCCUCUGCAAGGGAUUCUCUUAUAGUCUUCCAUCGUCUUCAUACAUAAGAAAUCGUCACUUCUAAUGUCUUUCUCACCAGUUUUUUUUUUGGCUUUUAAGGAGGUAGACGACCCGUGUGAUCCAUGUUUGGGGCACUACUACUUUCAAUGAUGUGCUAUGUGCCAGGAACACAAGGAGACGAAGGCCAGCUACUCUAAUAACUUGAAGCUUCUUUUUAAUUUUUAUAAAUAUUUGAUGCCAUUGGUUUCUAGAAAGGUAGCUAAUUCAUAUAUAGCAUAAUAUGUUCUACAUAUCUUAACAGUCAAUGCAAAUGUGUACACCCUAUGUUGAACCCAUACUAUUGUAGCAUACUGAACACAUGCCAUUACUUUUGUAAGGUUUUCGCGAUGAAGUUGGUAGUGACGCACUGAUGUGAAAUACUAAAAUCAAGCCUCAUGUUAUCUAUAGAUUGUUUUAUAGGAAAGCAACAAAAUGGUUAGAGAAGGUUUUUAGGUAUACUAUAUAUCUGGUGAUAGGAUCCAUGUUGAACUGAUUAUAUUACGAGGUAAAAAAAUAAAAUUUAGGAAGUAACAUUUCUAAAAAUAAGCUUUUCCAAUAUCUUCAAUAUGAGGAUAUAGAUGAUCGACAGAAAGGAGAAGUAUUUGGACGUGUAUUUUUGCCAAGUAAAGUGGUGAAAUAAAUUAAGUUGCAACUAAGAUAGAUUGUGAGCUUAUGUUUCUUUUUUCUUUUCUUUUUUUUUUUUUGUAACUAAAAGAGGCUAAAACAUGUUUGAGCUUUGCCAAUGUAUCACAAUCAUGUUGGUCGGAAGAACAUGAUGGUUAUGACUUAUGAUGGGAAAACAAGGCUCCGGUGAGUCUUUCGGCGCGUGAACGGUACCGAUUGAAAGCUUAGAGCAUGGCGAACCUUAUGACGGUGGUGGAUUGUCCAAUCGUGCAUUUAUGGUGUUAUGUCAAUGAGAGACGACGAAUAGUCUUAUUAGUAAUAUUCCCAAAGUUUUUAAGUUAACAUAUGUUAUAAAUUCUCUUAUUUGCAGCACCUCAACUUCCAAUGCUAAUUUAAAAUUUUCAAAUAUAAGAGAAGGGGAUCGGCAAGUGUAGCGAAAACCAUGAUGCUGAGAACUAACCCAACUACAUGCAUCCACCAUUCACUCAGGAUCCACCAAUUAUGGAUCAGCAACUAAAUUGUUAACGGGUCAUCUCAGUUUGGGUCAUCUCUGUUCUUCUAGAUGGACCAAACACAAAAAAAAAGAAUCACCAAAAGCGCGAGGACUAGGAGCAUUUGUGCUUAUUGACAAGAUCAAGCAAGUCUUGGAAGCACGGUGCCCAUGAGCCGUUUCGUGUGCUGAUAUUCUCAACAUUGCAGCCAGAGAUGCCGUGUAUUUUGGGUGUGAUGCAUCGGUUUUUCUAGAUGGACAAAACACAGAAAAAGAAUCACCAAAAGCGCGAGGACCAGGAGCAUUUGUGCUUAUUGACCAGAUCAAGCAAGUCUUGGAAGCACAGUGCCCAGGAGCCGUUUCGUGUGCUGAUAUUCUCAACAUUGCAGCCAGAGAUGCCGUAUAUUUUGAUAUAAAUGAACGGCCUGAUAUCAGCAGUUAAUCCAUUUUCAUGCUGGGAAAAGUAUCCGAAACUUGAACGGACACAGCAUUGGGCCAUAUCAAAUUCAUGCUGGGAAAUCAGUGCCAAUCGUGAAGGGAGGAGAAUAGACAAAGAUGGAAGAGGGAGAAUUCUAUGCAAUUGAAACUUUUGGAUCUACAGGUAAGGGAUAUAUGAGAGAAGAUCUGGAGAGCAGCCACUACAUGAAAAACUUUGAUGUGGGGCAUGUUCCGUUGCGGUUGCCAAGAGCAAAACAGCUUCUUGCCACAAUUGAUAAGAAUUUCUCUACACUAGCUUUCUGUUGACGCUAUUUAGAUCGACUUGGAGAGACCAAAUAUUUAAUGGCUCUCAAGAAUUCGGGUGAUGCUGGUGUUAUUCAGGUAUGGGUUUGUUUUUCUUACUUUUGGGAUUUGAGGUGAAGACCGAUUGUGGCGUUAACCAUUUUUAAGUACUCGCUUAUGCAGUUAUACUUUAUGGAACUCAUAUUUUCAUAUAUUAACCGUUUGAUCAAGCAAAUCUCUCAUAAUUUGUUCAUUUGUUUUUACAUAUCAGUCUCCUAUUUUCGGCCAUUUUUUUUCUUAAUUUCUUAGUUCUCUCAGAAUGCUAAAACAAUUGUGGUUCGGGUCAAAAUGGGGUAUGACCAAAAUGGCCUUGAGUUGAACCAAGUGGUGUUAGAAAGAGCGAAAAAGAAAACCUUUACAAAAUGAGUAUUGCAAGUGCUCUUUUUGCAAUUCUUAUGUUGGAUACUCAUAAAUACAAAUCAUCCCACAACAAGAUCACAUCCCCAUUAUUUCCUGUGCUGGCGUGUUGGGGUCUCGGGUAUGUGGUGGCUACUCUUUUCUUUGCAGUAGUGGAAAUGUCGAUCGAUACGAUCAUGCGUGUUGGGGUCUCGGGUAUUGCCAGGAUGCAGAGGAACACCAAGGGACUGCACAUUAUGCACCUCCACUUUUAAUUGAAACAUUUGAUGAACAAAAUGAGGUGCAAAGAAUUGCACAAUGAAGGAUAUGAAAUGUAGUUGGAUUUUGUAUUGUUGUUACUUUUUGUGGUAGUAGCAUGUAGGUUAGGUUGUGUAUGUGCAGAAAACAAGUGAAAAGAGAACAAUAUGUUAAGAUCAUUAUAUAUAUGAAACGUGUGGCCAGCCACAGGUGCAAGUUUUGAAUGAAUGAUUAGGUUCAUGAUC